CAGUCGCCACGGUAAUACGUAGGGUGCGAGCGUUAAUCGGAAUUACUGGGCGUAAAGCGUGCGCAGGCGGUUAUAUAAGACAGAUGUGAAAUCCCCGGGCUCAACCUGGGACCUGCAUUUGUGACUGUAUAGCUAGAGUACGGUAGAGGGGGAUGAAUUCCGCGUGUAGCAGUGAAAUGCGUAGAUAUGCGGAGGAACACCGAUGGCGAAGGCAAUCCCCUGGACCUGUACUGACGCUCAUGCACGAAAGCGUGGGGAGCAAACAGGAUUAGAUACCCCCGUAGUCCCUGUCUCUUAUACA
rnacentral:rRNA from 1 species